ensembl:lncRNA
GAAUUAGGGCCUGUAAAUACAGCCCAGGACAGUGUGUGUGUGUGUGUGUGUGUGUGUGUGUGUGUGUUGGGGCGGGGGUGUGAGUUUGGGGCAAAUGUGGGAUAUCUUUCAGAGACCUCUGCUCAUUUUGACGAGGAGGAACGACCCUUGGGACCUCAGAGGGCUGUAGAUGAGCUUCCUGGGCCCAGAGUGCCUUGGUGGUGGCCAUUCUGCUUCCACCCCCAUCUUUCCAUGGUGUGGGGUGCAGCACAGAGAAACCCAGAGACCUAGGCCUGGCUGGUGCCCCCAGCCCCUGGCUGCUGCUUUGGGCUGACUCCAGAGUGGACAGGAGCCCUCUGUCCACAGUGACCACAAGGGUGGCAGUCUCCCGUCUGCAACACUCUGGGUGCCCACUUCUAACUCUACUACAUGUCAGCUGGAAUUGGCCAAUGGUGUGCUGGUAGCUUCUGAGCAGCAUGCUAGGUCCCCGAAGACAGGGAGAGGGAGCUGCAUGUCUCUCGGAGGCCACACAGUGCUAUCCCUGGAGGAGGCAGGGUCUCCUUGUGAUCUGCCCACGGCAUCUCGGAAGGAGGGUUUGCAGCCCCACGUCUAUCUGCACAUAGGAAGGGGGAAAAGGACUCUAAACCCAGUUGUCUUGGAAUAAAAGAAGAGCCGCCCAUUUUUAAAAGGUCAUUCAGUCAAAGGCACAGUGCUAGAAGGUAAGGGUCUGAUAUAUUAGUCACAUCACAAGCAGUAAAAAAUGCUUUUUGGGUCACCCACAUCAUUUGCCAUCCAAAGAUUCCAUAUGCAAUUCUGGUGACCGUAUUUUCCAAAGCUAAAACUGAGGGUGUGGGCCAAUGCUUUUUAAAUUCAGGAUCACCCUGGGAAGAGCCAGUUCCUAUGACUGGUUUUCCUGAUUCUGAAGCGAGGUUUCAAAGAUUCAUCCUAGACACAUUCCACAGAAUUUUGUACCAGAAUUUGGAUGCCCAAUCCAGCUUACUACUGAUAAAUACCUGAACAUCAUUUAGGGAGAAGGCCUUCCUCCACCGGCGGUUCCAUCCCUCGUUGGUUAGGAGAGUUGAAUUUGGUGGGAGGUGUGAGCUCAGGGUUCACAAGGGCAGAGGGGCCACGCUUGGUUUCUGCUGACCCCUCCCGCGAUGUCAUACUUGCAGUGCAGCCCCCUGGCCCUGCCCAUCUUCUCCCCUUCUCAUGCAGCUUUAAAACCGUACUACUUUUAUUUAAAGAUGAACAGGAUGGAAGAGAAGUAGCGUCCCCUACGCCGUGCAUCAUACAUUGCCUAUGGGGGACACAGAAAGCAUGGGGUGGACCGCACGAUCGGCUUUCUCCCAGGGCUCAGGGAUGUCAUCCUAUGACCAGUGGACAGGCUGCUACACACUUUCAUUUGGAAAGCAAGUAUAUGAACUGAAUGCCUGCAAGGUGACCACAGGUCUGGUUGAAGGCUGUUCCUCUCACUCAGAGCCCAGGGUGGCUCCCUCCCCAGCCCACCCUCCAUGUGGAGGGAGUCGGCCACCUCCCAGUAUGGCUCAGACACUGCUGGGGUCAGGGGCAUCCAUUUCCGGGUCAGGGUGCCUGUUCUCUGGGUGUGUGGGUGAGAGAUGUCACUCCCCUGGCUUCACCUUGUAGGGUCCCAGUGUGGUGAGGACCCCAGGGCUUGAAGGCCAUGGCAGGAGGUUCUCCUGAGCAGCUAUACAUUGUCAGAUGUGGGGCUUGCUGUGGCUCCCACGUGAUUGGGAAUUGCUUGUGUGGGUGUGUUGGGUGCAUGCAUUGGGGUCUCAGUCACCCCCAGACCCUCACAAAUGACCCCUUCCCCAUCCAAAGCCUUUGAUGGAGCUUCUCUGGAAUCAUUUGCCAAAAUCCCAAGGCAGAAUCCAAGGGUCCAAGACCAUUUCCAUCAAGCACACAUUUUUCCUUUUCUGUAGGAACUUUUUUUUUAAACCAGCACCACACCAUGCUUCUGAAAGCCACAUUUCAUCUUUCCUGGAUCACUACAGUGAAGUAUUACA